GAUGAACGCUGGCGGCGUGCCUAAUACAUGCAAGUAGAACGCUGAAGGAGGAGCUUGCUCUUCUGGAUGAGUUGCGAACGGGUGAGUAACGCGUAGGUAACCUGCCUGGUAGCGGGGGAUAACUAUUGGAAACGAUAGCUAAUACCGCAUGACAACAGUUAUUGCAUGAUAACUGUUUAAAAGGGGCAACUGCUCCACUACCAGAUGGACCUGUGUUGUAUUAGCUAGUUGGUGAGGUAACGGCUCACCAAGGCGACGAUACAUAGCCGACCUGAGAGGGGGAUCGGCCACACUGGGAAUGGGACACGGCCCAGACUCCUACGGGAGGCAGCAGGAGGGAAUCUUGGGGAAUGGACGGAAGUCUGACCGAGCAACGCCGCGUGAGGGAAGAAGGAUUUCGGAUCGUAAAGCUCGGUUGUAAGAGAAGAAAGAGUGUGAGAGUGGAAAGUUCACACUGUGACGGUAUCUGACCAGAAAGGGACGGCUAACUACGUG
rnacentral:rRNA from 1 species